rnacentral:lncRNA from 1 species
UGUACAUAGACAUCCAUAGAUAUCCACAUUCAUAUGGAUAAAAUUUAUAACUAUAUCCAAUAUCUAAAACUGAAUAUAAAUAUAAGCAUAUCCAUCAUAGAUAGUUAUGAAUUUACAUAUAAAUUGGUAAUAUAUAUGUCCAGCUGGAUAUUUGCCAUCCAUUGGCACCGCACAUUGACAUGAUUGACUAGUAACUUCCGUCGUAUCUAGUUAUUUUUUAUUAUUCUAUUAUGGAUUUGGCUGUUAGUUUUGGAUGUGAAAUUAGGAGAAAGCUUAUAAUUCCACUGAUAUUUUUAUACGGAGAGGUUUUAAUGAAGUUGUCCAAUAAAAACGUACCAUAUGAAACAAAUGUUAGGGAAAAAUCAGGUUUUUAAAAUUUUAUAAAACUUUUUAAGAACCGCUCUCAUAUAAUAUAUAGGAAUACGUAAUCCAUAAAUCGUACCUUGAAAAUCUGAAUUGGCUUUUUCCGCUGAAGUGAUUUAGGAUCCUAGAUCACGAUCUGCCACCACCACUCCUGUUAGAUCACGAUCCGCCACCACCACUCCUGUUAGAUCACGAUCCGUCACCACCACGCUUGUUAGAUCACGAACUGUCACCAAUGAUCUUUCAGGUUAUGACUCAGGUUCGAUUUGCACUUGACGUGUGGGCACUUUUAUCACUACCAAAGCAACUAGCACGAGAAAAUUUUUCUCGCAACAAUAGAGAGAAAAAUCUUUUUCUCUGAUCUGUAUAAAGUGGCUACCCCCUUUUCUUUAGAGAAAAUAAGCCUUUUAUAUCACCUUUUAGUGAAAACCCUCAGCUCCAAAUAAUCAAACGUAAAACCCACGUUAUUUGCUUUUUCAAUAGGGGACCCACCUUGUAAAAUAACAUAAGGCCCCUUACACAAAAGCUAAUUAAAUGGAGCCUCCCACUAAAUGAUAUAUUUAGGCUUUUGACCCAAAUAGCUAGUUAUCUUACUUAUUAGUCCAGUAGUGGUGCAGUCAAAUAAAUGAGCUAACCCGGGGAUUAUUUGGGAACAUACAAUAGUGGCUACAAUAAUUAGGCCUGUAAUUAAACUAGCCCAAUUAUUUAAUUCCAAAUCUACUCCACUAAAAGAUUGGAACUGACUUCCAUAAUUGUAUGCUCGAAUAAUAAUUCGUCCCAAGCCACAUUGAUUUCUUUACUGCACAAUCCUUUAUACCACAUCGUUAAUUAAAUUAAUAUCUCAACUGUCCAAUCAAUUUAAUAACAUCUUAUUCCUUGAUCCUUACUGAUUUUCUCUAAUGAUCAUUUUCAGCAUACUAAAUAUGUUGACACACUCUAGCCAGAGAAUUCUAUGAUCAAGUGCCGAAAACCUAUCAAGAGAUGUGUUGUACAAAUUCUAUAUUGUUAAUCCAUAACUCCAAUACUCAUAAUUGCUCCCACCAAGAUACCGGGUAAUCUUGACCACAAGGAUGUGUCGUGCCCAUUGGUAACUCAAAUAGAAUAACAAUUACAAUCAUGAAAUCAUAAUUAACUUAAGAUUAAGAUUACAGUAAAAUCAACGCCUAUGAGAUUUAAUAAGUCUGACAGUUAUUACAAAGUUAAUUAAAUCUCAUAUAUGAUCCUGUUCAAUGUAGUCGUACUACAUCAAUAAAUUCAUACAUGAUUAAGACAAAUCAUUCAAUGAAUUUAUUACAGUCUAUACCUAAAUAAAGUGCCUAACUUUAUUUAUCAACUGCGAACUAAAUUUAUUUAAUCAUAAGAUAACUUGUAUUUAUGUCUUCUGUGAAUCCACAUGGUGAUCACUUAAAUACAUAUAAUAUGAUUAAAUGGACUUUAAUACAAAUAUUAAUGCAAUUGAGAUAUUUGAAUAAAAUACCUCAUUUAUUUUAUUAAUCAGAAAAAUUGUUUAUUACAAUUAAAUAAACACAUAUGCUUUUAAAGAGCAUAUUUUCCCAACAAUUUCCCACUAGCUCUCAAAGCAUAUUUGACAUCUCACGCAUGCCCAUGGAUUCUAAGUGCAAGUUAAAAGGUUUCCCAGAUAUGGCCUUAGUAAAAGGAUUUGCCAAGUUUUGCUGUGACGCAAUCUGAGGAACCUCCACAUCACCUCUCUGCACUAUAUCCCUUAUAAGAUGAUACUUCCUCUUAAUAUGUUUUUGUUUCUUGUUGUUCCUUAGUUCCUUAGAUUAAGCUACCGCACCACUAUUAUCGAAAAAUAGUUUCAAGGGUGCAGUUUGUUGUGCAAAUUUUAAUGUACUCGCAAGCGCACGAAUCUAUUGUAGUAUAGAUCUAUGGUGACGAGUGUCGAUCCCACGAGGAGGUGGAUUUUAAUUGUGUAGAAUUAAUUUUGUAAAUGGGUUGUUGGAUUUAUGGUGGAAAUGAUUUGGUAUAUGCUAAAACUUAAAUUAAAAUGGCGAGAAUAAAUUCUAAAAUUGGAAUUGCAAUGGCGAGAAUAAAUUGAAGAUAAUUCUAUUGAAAUGACGUACUUGGGUAUCUGGAUCCGUAUCAACAUGCAUCAUGGGCUAAAUAUUCCUUAUUAAUGCCAAUUAAAUCAUGAGGGGGGAAUCCACACCUCAUGAACCACGCUCUAAUCAAUAUGGUGCUAAGGGCUUAUCGUGCCAAAUAAUAAUAACCUUGUACUAGAGGGCCGGUGUAACCAAGGCGGUACUAGACAAGAUUAGUAUUAUUUGUCGACGAGAAGUCAAAACAUCCACAAAAACUAGAGGGGAAGAGAAAAUAAAUUUACCAAAUUAAGCCCAUGACACAUGUUGAGACUUCACCUUCAACCCAAGCUUGAAAGAAAAUUAGCCACUCAUAAUUGAACUAGGGGCAAAAUGGAAAUUUAUUAAAAUACGAAGAAAAUACAAGAUGGAGAGGGAAUUACAGAAAAUGGAUCCCAAAAAUGGAUUCAGAGAUAUCAAAUUAGGGGGGGAGGCCCCCUUUUUAUAGCUACAUGGAGUAAAUCAUGGCCAUCGGAUUAAAAACAGUUUGGACGCUCAGGAUUGCGCCACGUCAUCAGUCAACAGUCCACGGUUUGACCACGCGGAUGAACAGUAACACGGUUUGACCCGACUUUGAACAGUAACGCGGUUUGACCCGGAUGAACAGUAACGCGGUUUGGUUGAAACUAAUCCUGUGUGAUGCAUGCACCGUACGCGAGAUUUUUCGUCCACUGAUAUACUGCCACGUCACCAUCAACAGUACAUAAGAAUUUUAGCACAACAGGAUUGUGACACCUCAUCAGUCAAUGCCACGUCAUCAAUCCGUCUAUGUGAACAGUAACGUAUACAGUACUGUGUACGUGAAUAGUACCGUACAUGUGAAUGUGUCAUUUUUCCUUUUAUGGUCCUCCUAAGGUUUUCGACCGUCCUGAGUUCAAAAGUGAUGUCCGUUUUGCCGUCUGAUCUCUCCUUUAUUUUGAAAUGACUAUAAUGCCCCUAGAAUACAUAAAUUACUUAAUUAAAAUAAAACACACGUAAUUAAAUCAUAAGAAUGUUAAAUACAUAAAAGUAAGGGUUGUUAGUAAGACUUGAAAUGUAAAAUGACGGUUUUCUCCUUUAUAAAUAUGCAUUUUCUAACACUCAACACACCCCCCAACCAGCUUAUUGCUAGUCCCUAGCAAAUAAAGCGAAAACAAAAUUCAAAUUCGAAAUGAUUUUUUUUUUUUUUUUUUUUUAGAAACACUCUUGUUUAUUCAAUCAGAUUAAUGAUAGCAAUCAAAUAAAAAGUAUAAGCAUUAUCUCUAGUCUAAAGCAACAUCACACCCACAUCAACCAUCCACAUGAAUUAGCCCAGUAGACUUUUUUAUAGCUACUUUCAAGAAUGACAUGUCAAACCCCAAAAUCUCACUGGAAGUAGUGACACUCUCACAAAGAAAUUAAAACUCAAUAAACAUAGUCACUCCAAUCAAUGGUAAUUGAGAGAGAAAAUAAUAAAGAAAUGAUAUCACAUGCUCUCACCAAGAUGAAAUAAAUAUGCCCUCAGCUUAGAAAUAAUAUGAUCUCAAGUCAAAUAAAAUGUUAGUUAACCCACUUUAUUUAUGUCUUUUUUUUUUUUUUUUUUUAAGCAUCACUACAUCUUUUUAGCCCAUAUAACUAGCUUCUACUUCAAACUAUAGUUCCCUAAAAUCAAGAAGGACUUUUAUUAGGACGUAACGUAGGCUAGGGAUAUGGCUAACAAAGAAAGGAAAUAAGGAAAACAAAGUAUAUGUUUGAGAAAAAUGCAGAGAAUUUUUUUUUUUUUUUUUGAAGUUGCAAGGUGUAUUUCACCUAUUGUUGUUAUUUUUAUUCUUUUUAAACAACAAUUUUUUUUUUUUAGCUUUUAUUUGUCAUAACUUCACUGAACAACAUAAUUAUUUACAUUUUCUCAAACAUAAAUAGGUGAUGGAACUUAUAAGACAUCGGGUAAUACUCCAAAUCGGAGUGGGUUAAGAUGAUAAGUUGACAAAGAAAAGGUUUUUUUUUUUUUUUUUUUUUUAAAGGUUCAAAAAGGGUAACUAUGGAUAUUUAAUAAAAGGGAUGGCUAGAAAGGCUCAAACGGAUCAAAGAUGGCCUUUCCAUCGUCUUUUAGGGCUCUAAAUAAUUAUCCAUAUCUACUAGUUAGAUGAGCCUCCCAAUGUAGCAACACACAUUUUUUUUUUUUUUUACCAUUUUUUUUUAAAGGGCUAACUCAAAAGAAAUGUAGAGAUCGUGUAUAAAAUAAUAAACUGCUAAGCUGUAUAGAGAAUGGGCAAAAGGGUUACUCUCCAAGAAAAUGAUAGGCUCAACAACUCACUUGGCACUUAUUUAUGACAUGUUCAUUCCUUCAAGCAACUCAUAUUUGUCUCCGACAUCAACAUGUAAAGUAGCAAACAUAGCGUAACAUCACUUAAGACCAAAGAUAAUACAAAUAAUAAAAUUUGAAAUUAAUCAUGUCAUCCAAUGUUAAAACAAAUAACACAAUUUUUUUUUUUUAACAACAUUCUACCCCCCAACCUAUUCUAAACAUGAAAGAAAAAUAUGCAUGCAGAAAUGUGAAAAUGAUGUAGAAAAAUUUAUUAGAAAAAGAAAUUUUUUUUUUUUUUUAACUAAGAAGAUGCGUUUCUAGAGGCACGACACUCCAUAUUCAGCCAUCUUCGACUCAAAAAUUGGAAAAUAUAUAUUUAUAAAGGAGAAAGAGGAAGAAAACAAUUUUUUUUUUUUAAAACGAUGAAGAUGCGUUUCUAGAGUAACUACACUCCAUAUUCAGCCAUCUUCAACACAAAACGUUAGCAACAGUUAGUUUCUACAACAAAAAAAAUAGUAAAAACUUAACCAAGAUUCCACAAUUGUCGACUAUUCCCUCCCCCCAACCAGAACGAAACAUUGUCCUCAAUGUUUUAAAGGAAAGAAGUAGAGUUUAGAAGACAUUACCUGGGUGGUGCAACACAGAAGAAAAUAUUUACAGGCGGAGAGUUAAAUCUAAUUUGUACUUCUUACUGCGGCUACUGUUACCAUCAUUAUUUGGUCGCUCCAACACAAAGGUCCAGGGGUCUGGCUCCGGUUUAUAAGCUUGUAACAUAUCAAGUAGCUCAUUAGCAGUGUGAGCACAAAUAAAAAGUUUUUUCACAUUAGAAGGAAUGAAGUAGUUUUUUAUUGCAUGGUUAAGAAAUGCGAUAAAGCCAUCAUAAAAGUUAUUGACAUUUAACAAACCGAUGGGUUUCUGGUGGAUGUGCAGAUGGGCCCAAGAUGCUAGUGUCAUAAGUGCCUCUAGUGUUGCAAGAUCUCCUGGAAGGAAAAUAAAAGCAUCAGCAUAAUUAAGCAUUUCAGUUAUUCUUUCUUGCAUACCUGAGACGACUAACUCUUCUCCAGUUGAUGAGUCAGACGAACUGCCCAAUGGUUUUAGGACUCUUGGGAUGAUGCCUAACACUUGACUUCCUCUGAUAAAAGCUGCUUCUGAGACCAUUUUUGAUAACCCUCGAUUACCUCCUCCAUACACCAAGUGUAAUUUUCUCGCUGCUAUGCUUCGACCAAGAUCUAUGGCUGCCUCAACGAACUCUUUAUGUUUGCCAUAGGUAAAUCCAGAAAGCACACAAAUGUUCUUGAAUUGUCUAUUGGGAGUAGCUGCCAUUGGAAUAUUUCUCAAAAACAAUUUGUGAGUGUUUGACAAAAGAAAUCACAUUUAAGAGUCUUGGUGAUAGUGGGUCAUGGUUGUGUAUGAGGUAAUAUGUUAGUGUCAAAUAACGCGUAAAGCACGUGGCUCGCAAGUCAAAAAGAAAACAGUAAAAAGGAAAAAGCAAACAGUAAUAAAAUUAUUAAAGACAAUAAUGCAAACAAUAAGACAAUAGUGAAAUAAAAUAACAAUAAAGUAAAAGGAUAUUUACAGGUAGUUGCGACUGUGGCUCACAUCUUCCUCUGGUUUUACGUCCAGAAACGGCUUGAACGCCCUCUAUGGGUCGAGGAUAGGCUUCCUAUCCAGUUUUCUUUUAAACAGGCAAACAGGGUCGUUUAUAGUCAGAUUCCCGAGACUAUAUCGUGCAUGCUCUUUCUGGAAUAAUGGCCAUAACUGGAGAAUCGCUCCUUGCACAUAUCCACUGGGAUGCGUUUCAAGAGAUAAAAGGAUAUCAUCCAAUGACUCCUUAUUCAAGCCAUCCCUAAUGAAUUGAAUCUUAUCUUCUCUGUUAUCAGACAUCAUUCCUAAAGAACAUGGGUUUCUAUCGCAAAUCAUUCUGGCACACUUGUGACAAGCAACAGAAAUUCUUCGAGCUCGUCGUUUUCUUGCAUAAUUUCCUUUACCACAACCAGGCAUGUAUGCAAUAAAUUUAGGAGGUAACUCACCUGCUAAUCGAACUUUAGCCUCGAUUAACCAACGGAUGUCAGCAGGUAUGUUAUUCUUCAUGAGUAAUCGCAUGCGUUCGGACCGAGCUUUAUAGAUCGUAAGGAGGGCAUUCUGAGGAAGUGAAGGGAAUCGCUUGUGAAGCUUCGCUAGAAUCUCGUUUCUGUCCAUACUUUCGCCUCAGAAUGUCAGUUAUUGUGGGAAACUGAAGUAACCGACUUGAUUGUCACGGAGUACCGUUAUCCGCCACUUCACCGGGGUAACAAACUAAAGCACACAAACAGAAAAACAAAUCAAAACACACAAAGAAAAUUAAAAUCGUCCUCUUAUUGAAUUUACCUCAAGCUCCAACUGGAUGUCGUAAACACUUCUCUCAAUGUCUCUGAGUUGGCGUUCUAAACCCUCAACAUAAGCUACUAACUCUGGUGGUUGUAGAGCCCAAAUGCGUUGUGUUUUACAAAAUUGAAUCUGCUUUUUGAGAUGAGUUUUGACACGUUGAAGUGGUUUAAGAAUGUUCAGGAGGAACGGUCUAAGUAUGGUACUCAUGAUUAACAAUGAUAAGAAAAAAAAAACUUAAUGGAAAAACAAACACACUUAUGCAAAAAUAAUUUCAAUUAACAAAUAAAAAGAAAGAAAGAAAAAUCAAAUCAACGAAAAGAAAAAAAAUCAAUUCAAAUCUGGUGGGUCACUUAAAUUUAUUUCGGUGUCUUCUCCAUGUGUUUGGUACUCUAAAUAUGGCUUUAAUCUUUGACCAUUGACUUUAAACGUGACACCGUUCUUUGGGUCUUUAAUUUCAAUUGCCCCAUGUGGAAAAACAGUAUGAACAAUAAAUGGACCAGACCAACGAGAGCGUAACUUACCUGGAAAUAGGUGCAAGCGAGAAUUGAACAAAAGCACUUUCUGACCUGGAGUGAAAGAUUUUCUCAUAAUGUGCUUGUCAUGAAAGACUUUCAUUCGUUGCUUGUAAAUCUUGGCAUUUUCGUAUGCAUCAUUGCGAAUUUCUUCAAGUUCUGCCAGUUGUAAUCUUCUUUCUGAGCUGGCAUGCUGCAUAUCAAAGUUGAACUUCUUGAUGGCCCAAUAUGCACGAUGUUCGAGUUCCACAGGUAGGUGGCAAGCUUUUCCAUACACUAGCCUGUAGGGUGACAUCCCAAUCGGGGUCUUGAAAGCCGUUCUAUAUGCCCAUAAUGCAUCAUCAAGUCUUAAUGACCAAUCUUUUCUGUCUGGCCUCACCGUCUUUUCUAAUAUGUGCUUUAUUUCUCGAUUGGAUAUCUCAACUUGGCCACUGGUUUGCGGAUGAUACGGGGUUGCCACUUUGUGUGUGAUUGAAUACUUUGUCAAAAGUGCUUUGAAUGCUUUGUUACAAAAGUGGGCACCACCAUCACUGAUUAUUGCUCGAGGGAAUCCAAAGCGUGAGACAAUGUUGUUUUUCAAAAAUCCUAUCACCACCUUGUGAUCAUUGGUUCUACAUGGAAUUGCUUCUACCCAUUUUGAGACGUAGUCAACACCAACCAAUAUGUAUUGAUGGCCAAAAGAAGGGGGAAAGGGUCCCAUGAAGUCGAUACCCCAUACGUCAAAAAUCUCAACCACUAAAAUUGGAUUUAGUGGCAUCAUGUUCCUUCGUGUAAUGCUCCCCAUUCGUUGACACCUAUCACAUGAAGAACAAAAAGUGUAAGCGUCUCGAAAUAGUGUUGGCCAAUAGAAACCACAUUGUAAAACUUUAGUCGCUGUUUUCUUAGCACUGAAAUGGCCUCCACAAGCUUGUUCAUGGCAGAAUGAAAGGAUAUUCUGAAUUUCAUUUUCUGGGACACAUCGUCUAACAAUUUGGUCUGCACAAUACUUGAACAAAUACGGGUCAUCCCAAAAGAAAUUCUUUAUUUCCGCAAAGAAUUUGAUCUUGUCUUGCUUGGUCCAAUGCUCUGGAAGUUUACCUGUAACAAGAUAAUUAACUAUAUCAGCAUACCAAGGUAAUACUUCCACACUAAUUAAUUGUUCAUCUGGAAAUGACUCAUUUAAUAUUAAUGGCUCUGUAAUUGUGUCAAAGUGAAGACGAGAGAGAUGGUCCGCCACAACAUUUUCUGACCCUUUCUUAUCUUUGAAUUCCAAGUCAAAUUCCUGCAAAAGUAACACCCAACGAAUUAGUCUAGCUUUUGCAUCUUUCUUUGUGAGAAGAUAUUUAAGAGCAGCAUGAUCUGUGAACACAAUUAUUUUACAACCAAUGAGAUAAGAUCGAAAUUUUUCCAAUGCAAACACUACUGCUAGCAUUUCUUUUUCAGUAGUUGAAUAGUUCAACUGUGCAUCAUUCAAUGUCAUACUAGCAUAGUAAAUAACAUGAGGAAUUCGAUCAACUCUUUGUCCUAAAACUGCUCCUACUGCAUAAUCAGAUGCAUCACACAUAAGCUCAAAUGGUAAGCUCCAGUUUGGGGCCUGAAUGAUGGGUGAUGAUGUCAACAAUUGCUUUAAUUUUUCAAAAGCCAUAAGACAUGAAUCAUUAAAGAUAAAAGGUACAUCCUUAGCAAGUAAAUUGCAUAAGGGUCUAGAAACUUUGCUAAAAUCUUUAAUGAAACGUCUAUAGAAACCAGCAUGCCCAAGGAAAGAUCUUACUUCUCUGACUGUUUUAGGUGGAGGGAGAUUAGAAAUGAGAUCCACCUUGGCUUUGUCAACCUCAAUACCUUUGCUCGAAAUGAUGUGACCGAGAACAAUACCUUGUUUUACCAUAAAAUGACAUUUCUCCCAAUUUAAGACCAAGUUCUUCUCGACACAUCUCUGCAAAACUAGCGUUAGAUGAUGUAAACAUUGAUCAAACGAGUCACCAAAGACAGAAAAGUCAUCCAUAAAGACUUCAAGGAAUCGUUCAACCAUAUCAGAAAAAAUGCUCAACAUACAUCGUUGAAAUGUAACAGGUGCAUUACAUAAUCCAAAUGGCAUUCUCCUAUAUGCAAAUGUGCCAAAAGGGCAAGUGAAAGUAGUUUUCUCUUGAUCUUUUGGUGCUAUGGGGAUCUGAUUAUAUCCUGAGUAGCCAUCUAGAAAGCAAUAAAAUUCAUGACCUGCUAAUCUAUCAAGCAUUUGAUCAAUAAAUGGUAAAGGAAAAUGGUCUUUACGUGUGACAGAAUUCAAUUUUCUAUAAUCAAUGCAUACACGCCAUCCUGUAGUCACUCUAGUGGGUAUCAAUUCAUUAUCAGCAUUGGUAACUACUGUGACUCCUGACUUUUUAGGGACAACUUGUACAGGACUGACCCAUGAACUAUCAGAAAUUGGGUAAAUGAUACCUGCAUCUAAUAGCUUAAGGACCUCAGUUCUAACAACUUCUUUCAUGUUAGGAUUUAACCGACGUUGCAUCUCCCUAGUAGAUUUAGCAUUUUCAUCAAGGUGAAUGUAAUGCAUGCAGUCUACUGGAUUUAUACCUUUGAUGUCUGUUAUGGUCCAUCCUAAUGCUCCUUUGUGCUCUUUUAAAAAAUCCAACAACUUACCUUUUUGUUCGUCAUUGAGGGAUGAUGAGAUGAUUACCGGUAGAGUACUUUCUUCUCCCAAAAAUGCAUAUUCCAAUGUGUUGGGUAAUGGUUUGAGCUCGAGUUUCGGUGGUGAUUCUGAUGAUGGGAUGAGUUUCUUCUCUGAUGGUGCUAGUUGUUCAACUCUUGACUUCCAUUUAUUAGUGUCCAUAGAUGGUGCUGAGUCAAGCAGGGCGUUGACCUCAUCAACCGAUCUGUCAAUAUCAAAAUCAAAACCAAAGUGAGUUAAACAUGUUUGUAAAGGAUCAUCACUAAGGUUUGAAAGAAAAGUGUCAUCAACUAAUGCUUCGAUUAAAUCCACAUCAACAAUUCCAUCAUCUGCACUGUGAGGUUGUUUGGCAAUGUUGAAGAUGUUCAGCUCCAUAGUCAUGUUGCCGAAAGACAACUGCAUAUUUCCAGUCCUGCAUUGAAUGUGAGCAUCUGCAGUUGCCAAGAAAGGUCGGCCUAGAAUAAUGGGAAUGUGCUUCCUUGAAUCCUGUAUUGGUUGAGUGUCAAUUACAAUGAAAUCAACAGGAAAAUAAAACUUGUCUACCUGGAUAAGCACGUCCUCCACAAUACCACGAGGUAUUUUCGUGGACCGAUCUGCAAGUUGUAACACCACUGGAGUUGGGUGUAAUUCUCCCAGUCCAAGUUUCACAAACACAGAGUAAGGCAAUAAAUUUACACUAGCUCCUAAAUCCAACAAAGCAUUCUCAAUUGUGUGGUUCCCUAUACUACAUGAGAUAGUGGGGGAGCCUGGGUCUUUGCAUUUUAAAGGAAUUUUAUGUUGGAGUAUAGAACUAACGUUUUCUGUUAAAAAUGCCUUCUUUUGAACAUGCAUGUUUCUCUUUUUAGUACACAAAUCUUUAAGAAACUUGGCAUAAGAUGGAACUUGCUUUAUAGCAUCAAGUAAAGGGAUGUUAACACUUACCUGUUUGAAGAUUUCGAGAAUCUCACCUGUAGAUUUUCCCUUUUUUCCUUUCGCUAACCUCUGAGGAAAUGGAGCUUUAGGAACGUAUUCUCGUGGGUUGGCUUCUUCUCUCUCCUCCGGUGGUGAGUCCUCAACGUUCACAGGUACAAUUUGAUUUUCCUUUGUCACCGGCAUCUCCACUUUGUUGUCGAUUUCUUUUCCUUUUCGCAAGGUCAUUAUUGCUUUGACCUCUCCAUGCUGCUGUGGUGAACUGGUACUCGCUUCAUGCACUCCUUUAGGAUUAGGCACUGGUUGACUUGGAAAUUUUCCUUUCUCAACAGUCAUUGCCAAGGUCUGAACUGAAGAAGCGAGUUGUCCCACCAUCUUCUCGAGGCUUGAAACUGAUUGAGCUUGUGAGUUGAAGCCCGCUCUCAAUUCAUUUCGUAGUCCAUCAAUGGUGCGGUUCUGUUGCUCAAUCGUGGAGUGAGUAACAUUCUUGAAAUUUUGGAAUGCAUCCUCCCAUGGUCUGGGUUGAGAGUAGUUCUGAUUCUGAUUGAAUGGUCUAAAUGGGGGCUGAGAGGCUUGAGGAACUUGAGGAAUUUGUUGCAUUGGUGGAGCUGGAGCUGCUGGUCCAUUCUGUUGGAAUCCUUGAGACCAUGAAAAAUUGGGGUGGUCUCUCCAUCCAGGGUUAUAUGUGUUGGAGUAUGGGUUGUAAUUUGAUGGCUUUCUCAUUACACCUAUGGCAUUGGCUUGAUCUGAGUAUGAGUCAUGGUCAUGUGGUUCUGUUGAUUUAGCAGUUGAUAACGAUGCUAUUUGUCGAGCAAGACCUUCAACCAUCUCCUUGACUUCUUUGAUUCCCGAAGUUGACUCGCCAAUUUGAACCUCAUUUACUCCCUUAAUUCUUCUAGUAUUCCUGAUUGAUCGACUCCGUUGUUGGGAAUUAUCCGCUUGUCGCUGGAAGAAUUCCCAAAUCUCUGAUGCACUUUUUGACAUUAGCUCUCCUCCACUUGUUGCCAUUAGUCAUUCUUGCACAUUCGGCAAUAAUCCCUCCAAAAAGUAUUGGCAUUGGUGCCAUUUCUCGUACCCAUGAUGUGGACACUUCAAGAGUAGCCCAUUAAAUCGCUCCCAUGUUUCGAAAAAUUGCUCAUCUUCUCUCUGGGUAAACUCCGAGAUUUCCCUGCAAAUAGCAUUGGUUUUAUGCACUGGGAAAUAUUUAUUCAAAAAUUUUGUUACCAUUUGUUCCCAUGAUGAGAUGCUAUUAGCAGGUAAAGUAUUUAACCAUGAACGAGCUCUAUCCUUUAAAGAAAAUGGGAAUAAUCUGAGUUUAACAUCAUCGUCUGAAAAAUUUUCAUAUUUAAAUGUUUGACAAAUAGCAUGAAAAUCAUUCAAAUGAUUAUAUGGGUCCUCAUUUUCUAGGCCAUAGAAUGUGGGGAGACAAUUUAGCACACUAGGUUUUAAUUCAAAGCUCCUAGCAGCUACAUUUGGGUAUCUUAUACAUGAUGUGCUCAAAUUUGCUAAAGGACUGAAAUAAUCUUUAAAUGGCCUCUCCUGUGGUUGCAAAUCCAUUUUAUUUUUUACUUGUUUGUGUGUGCGAAGUGUUUUCUCAAGUUCAAGGUCUAUAGGUUCAAGAUUGGGUAAUAAUGACCUUCGACCAUGCAUGCAAAACAAAUAAAAUAAAAAUAAAGAUGGGAACAAAACAAAUAAAAAUAAAGAAGAGGGAAAAAUUACGAUACUAACCUUAUUGCGCUAUUACAACCUUUCUAUAAAAAUACACAAAAAUAAAUACGUGAAAUAAAUUAACUAAAAAUAAAUUAUUAAAAAAAAUUACAAAGAAAAAUAAAUUAAAAAUUAAAUUACAGAAUUUUAAAGAAGAGAAAAAUAAAAGAAAUACUAACUUUUAAAUGUAGAUUCACUCUUUUUUUUUCUUUUUUUUUUAAUAAUAAAAAAAAAUACAAGAAAAUAAAUAAAAGAAAUUAUUCACAAAAAUUAAUUCUAUGAAUUAAAAUUACUUACCUCCCCGGCAACGGCGCCAAAAACUUGUUGUGCAAAUUUUAAUGUACUCGCAAGCGCACGAAUCUAUUGUAGUAUAGAUCUAUGGUGACGAGUGUCGAUCCCACGAGGAGGUGGAUUUUAAUUGUGUAGAAUUAAUUUUGUAAAUGGGUUGUUGGAUUUAUGGUGGAAAUGAUUUGGUAUAUGCUAAAACUUAAAUUAAAAUGGCGAGAAUAAAUUCUAAAAUUGGAAUUGCAAUGGCGAGAAUAAAUUGAAGAUAAUUCUAUUGAAAUGACGUACUUGGGUAUCUGGAUCCGUAUCAACAUGCAUCAUGGGCUAAAUAUUCCUUAUUAAUGCCAAUUAAAUCAUGAGGGGGGAAUCCACACCUCAUGAACCACGCUCUAAUCAAUAUGGUGCUAAGGGCUUAUCGUGCCAAAUAAUAAUAACCUUGUACUAGAGGGCCGGUGUAACCAAGGCGGUACUAGACAAGAUUAGUAUUAUUUGUCGACGAGAAGUCAAAACAUCCACAAAAACUAGAGGGGAAGAGAAAAUAAAUUUACCAAAUUAAGCCCAUGACACAUGUUGAGACUUCACCUUCAACCCAAGCUUGAAAGAAAAUUAGCCACUCAUAAUUGAACUAGGGGCAAAAUGGAAAUUUAUUAAAAUACGAAGAAAAUACAAGAUGGAGAGGGAAUUACAGAAAAUGGAUCCCAAAAAUGGAUUCAGAGAUAUCAAAUUAGGGGGGGAGGCCCCCUUUUUAUAGCUACAUGGAGUAAAUCAUGGCCAUCGGAUUAAAAACAGUUUGGACGCUCAGGAUUGCGCCACGUCAUCAGUCAACAGUCCACGGUUUGACCACGCGGAUGAACAGUAACACGGUUUGACCCGACUUUGAACAGUAACGCGGUUUGACCCGGAUGAACAGUAACGCGGUUUGGUUGAAACUAAUCCUGUGUGAUGCAUGCACCGUACGUGAGAUUUUUCGUCCACUGAUAUACUGCCACGUCACCAUCAACAGUACAUAAGAAUUUUAGCCCAACAGGAUUGUGACACCUCAUCAGUCAAUGCCACGUCAUCAAUCCGUCUAUGUGAACAGUAACGUAUACAGUACUGUGUACGUGAAUAGUACCGUACAUGUGAAUAGUGUCAUUUUUCCUUUUAUGGUCCUCCUAAGGUUUUCGACCGUCCUGAGUUCAAAAGUGAUGUCCGUUUUGCCGUCUGAUCUCUCCUUUAUUUUGAAAUGACUAUAAUGCCCCUAGAAUACAUAAAUUACUUAAUUAAAAUAAAACACACGUAAUUAAAUCAUAAGAAUGUUAAAUACAUAAAAGUAAGGGUUGUUAGUAAGACUUGAAAUGUAAAAUGACGGUUUUCUCCUUUAUAAAUAUGCAUUUUCUAACACUCAACACAGUUACAGCAGGUACCACCUCAAGAUCUUGUAGGAACUUGCGGAGCCAUACAGCUUCUUUUGCAGCUUCGGAUGCCGCCACAUAUUCAGCUUUAGUUGUGGAGUCUGCGAUACAAGAUUGUUUCACACUCCUCCAACUAAUAGCUCCACUUCCCAAUGUAAACACACAGCCGGAAGUUGAUUUUCUGGAAUCCUUAUUUGACAUAAAGUCAGAAUCAGUAUAACCCACUGGAAUGAAUUCAUCACCAGAAUACACAAGCAUAUAAUUUUGAGUUCUUUUCAGAUACUUCAUUAUAUGCUUGACCGCAGUCCAGUGUUCAAAUCCAAGAUUAGAUUGAUAUCUACUAACCAUCCCUACCGCAAAACAGAUGUCUGGCCUAGUGCAAAGCAUGGCAUACAUAAGACUUCCCACAGAUUCUGCAUAGGGAACUCGUCUCAUUCUUUCUAUUUCUUCAGAUGUUUUAGGUGAUUGAUCCUUAGAUAAUGUAAUUUCAUGUCUGAAUGGUAAUAAACCAGUCUUGCAAUUUUCCAUGCUAAAUCUAGCCAAUAUCUUAUCGAUAUAGACCGCUUGAGAUAAGGCUAAAGUUUUAUUCUUCUUAUCUCGUAGUAACUUGAUACCAAAAAUAUAACUUGCCUCUCCCAAGUCUUUUAUAUCAAAUUAUUUUGCUAACCAACUCUUUAUUGUAGUCAAUACUCAUAUAUCGUUUCCAAUUAGGAGAAUAUCGUCUACAUAAAGAAUUAGGAAGUAUACAUAUUUUUCUUGAAUUUUCUUGUACACACAUGGUUCAUUAAUGUUCUGAAUGAAUCCAAACGAUUUAAUCGCUUGAUCAAAUCUGAUGUUCCAUGACCGGGAUGCUUGUUUUAAUCCAUAAAUGGAUCUCUGCAACUUACAUAUCAUGUGUUCUUGGCCUUUUUGUAUAAAUCCAUCUAGUUGCUGCAUGUAGAUGUUUUCUUCAAGAUGCCCGUUAAGAAAGGCAGUCUUGACAUCUAUUUGCCAAAUUUCAUAAUCUAGCACUGCAGCAAUGGAGAGCAGAAUCCUGAUGGAUUUAAGCAUAGCAACCAGAGAAAAUGUUUCCUCAUAAUCGAUUCCCUCUUUCUGAGUAAACCUUUUGGCUACUAAUCUUACUUUAAAUGUUUCCACCCUUCCGUCUACUCCUCUUUUUCUCUUAUAGAUCCAUUUGCACCCUAUAGAUUUUACCCCAUUUGGUGCCUCUACAAGUUCCCAGACUUUAUUAGAAUACAUAGAUUUCAUUUCUUGAUUCAUGGCCUUUUUCCAAAACUCAACAUCCCUAUCUAUUAGAGCUUCGUUGUAACUAGUGGGAUCUUGUACAUGUUCAUCUGAGAUAGCUGUAUAGGUUUCUCCCAAAAGCAUGUAUCUCGCAGGUAACCUAGUUACCCUCCCACUACGACGAGGUUCUAAAUGUGAUGGUUGUUCAGGGUUAAUCCUGUGUUGAUCAUCUGGUUGUUGCUGUUCUUUCUGUUCUGUAACAAACAUUGAAAGCUGAGCAUCAACCUGAUCACUUGACAGUUCUUCAAGUAUUACCUUACUCUUAGGUUUGAAGUUAUUCAUAUAGUCUUCCUCAAGAGAAGUAAAAUGUGUGCUCACUAUCACUUUCCUAUCUUGAGGACUAUAAAAUAAACCUUCCAUUGUUCCUUUGGGAUACCCCACAAACAUACAAACCUCAGAACGUGAAUCUAUUUUGUCUGCCUUUGAUUUCAGCACAUGUACUGGUGAUCCCUAAAUACGGACAUGUCGUAAACUUGGUUUGCGAGCUGACCAUAAUUCUAUUGGGGGUUUAGGCACUAACUUGGAUGGAACUAAGUUCAAGAGGUAAACUGCAGUUUCCAAUCCUAGUCCCCAAAAAGAGAUUAGUAAUUACGAAUAACUAAGCAUAGAUCUCAUCAUAUCCAAAAUAGUUCUAUUUCUUCUUUCAGCUACCCCAUUUUGUUGUGGUGUUCCCGGGUUAGUCAACUGAGAUAUAAUCUCAUUUUCAACCAGAUAUUCUUUGAAAUCUCCUGAGAGAAACUCACCACCUUGAUCAGAUCGAAGUUUCUUUAUGUUCUUAUCUAAUUGCUUUUCUGUCUCAGCCAUAUACUCUUUGAAUUUCUCAAAAGCUUCAGACUUGUGACGCAUCAGAUAAACAUAACCGUAUCUUGAGUAAUCAUCAGUGAAAGUGAUGAAAUACUCAUAACCUCCUCGAGCUUGUACAUUGAUUAGUCCACAUACAUCUGUAUGUACCAAUUUAAGUGGUACUGUUGCACGUACUCCUUUGGCCGAGAAUGGCCUUUUGGUCAUUUUUCCUUCUAAACAGGAUUCACAGAGUGGCAAUGAUUCAUUUUCUAACGGACCCAAGAGCCCAUUUUUUAUCAUUCUCUGUAUCCUAUUUUGGUUUAUAUGACCCAAGCGUAAAUGCCAGAGGUAACAUUGGUUAGAAGAAAUAUUUCUUUUCUUAGAUAAAUGUGUAUGCUCAUCAUUAUUGAUCAUUGUGUCAUGCAUAGAAUAGAUCAUAGGACUUAAAUGAUAUAAAUUAUCUUCUAAUGUACCAGAACAAAUAAGUCUCUUAUUAUGAAAAAUAGAAACAGAGGAUCUAAAAUUUACAGUGUACCCUUGCUUUGACAAACAAGCUACUGAAAUUAAAUUCCUCUUAAUGUCUAGAACAUAAAGACAAUUAUUCAAAACUAAAGUCUCAUUAUUAAAAGAUAAUAAAACAUAUCUUGUCUUCACUGCUGACACGAACUGUCUUGUACCUAACUGCAGCUUGACGUUUCCUUUACUUAUUUUCCUGGUUUCCUGAAACCAAUAAAGUGAAUUACAAAUAUAAAUAGUUGCUCCUGAAUCCAACACCCAAGUGUCAAUAAGAUUUUGAACUAAACAGGCCUCAAUUACAAAAAGAUUUCCCAUACCUGAUUUCACAAUCUUAGGACAAUCCUUUUUCCAGUGACCUUUCUGUCCACACUUGAAGCAUUUGCCUUUCGGCUUGCCAUCUUGCUUGGUAGACAGUCUCUUUUUCCCAGCUUUCUUCUUUCUUUUGCCUUUCGGCUUAGGCCCAUAAGAUGAACUUUUUUUAGUAAUAUUUAUGCUUCCUAGAGAUUUCUCAGCACGAUAGAUCUCUUCAGUAGAAUGGAGUUCGUUCAUCAAUUCAGUUAAGGUCAUGUUUCUUUUGUUCAUGUUAUAAUUGACCUUAAACUCUUUGAAUGUUUCUGGCAGAGAUUCUAGCACCAUGUCAAUCUUUGAGUUAUCAUCGAUUUGUGCUUCCUGAAUCUCAGCCUCAUUCAAAUAGUCCAUCAUUUUGAGGACAUGAUCACGAACUCUUGUGCCUUCCCCAUUUUACUCUUCAUAAUUCCUUUCAGCGCUGCUUGUCUCGCAGAGCGAGUACUCUGCCCGAACAUCUGUUGGAGACUAUCCAUUAUUUCAGUGGCAGUCUCCAAGUUCUGAUGUUUGGUCUACAGAAUAUUAGAAAUUGAGGCUAAACUAUAGCACUUUGCCAUUUUAUUGGCCUUUUGCCAUUUCUCAUAAAGCCUCCUCUGAUUUCUAUGAGCAUCAUCCGCUGGAACUAGGGGGCAUGGCUGGGUUAAGACAUAUUUAUAAUUUUCAAUAGUCAGGACAAUGAAUAAAUUUCUUUUCCAAUCUAUAUAGUUCUCUCCAGUGAGUUUGUUUUGACUCAGAAUAAUAGUAAGUGGACUUAGGGAAGACAUUUUCUGAAAAAUAAAACAUCCAUGCAUAAAUAAUUUGAAAUAAUAUUCACAAUAAAUGACAAAAAUGCAUAAAACUAUAAAUGCAUUUUAAUUUAUUGUAAUGAUAAUCUAGUUCCGCUUUGACAAGCUAUCCGGUGGGGAAGUCAUGUCUAUACUUACUAGACCUAAUUACCCAUUGGAUUAUUUACUUUCAUAUAGAGACAUGAUAAAUAAUUAUCGUUAUCCUUUUGGGCCUAAAUUUAUUAACAGAGCUUCGUUGGGAAGGUUAAUAAUAAAUUUUAGUUGAAUGUAUAACCAUUAUUUCAAUCUAGAUAUUUUUCAUAUCAAUAGUCACUGUUGGGGUGAACAAUCGAUUAAAAAAUAUUUCAAUUUUAUCUUUGAAGAAGUUCAUCAAAUAAAAUAUCUAAUAUAUAUACCCUCCGAAGGGAGCAUCACCGUAUCAUGAAGUCGAGGUAUAUGUAUAAUUUUAUUAUUGAACUAACAAUGGAGCCCGUGGGAAAAUUAUCUUGAAUUUUCCCUCUCCCACUCUAUAUUUUAAAAUUGGUUUUUCCUUUUUAAAACAUACAUAUUGUUAAUUGCAUGCUUCCUAUAAUAUUAUCUAGAUGAUAUCAAAUAUUAUUAAGCAUAUGCAAAUUUCAAACAAUAUAAUGAAAUUCAUUAUUAAUGAAUGACAUGUAUCAUUAUGCAUAGAGUGGCACUACCUAUUCUAUAUGACAUGUUAUCAUGGCAUGUUAUCAUCCAAAACAUAACAUUUAGAAAAACAAUUAAAUAAUCUUAAUUCAUGGCUUUCCUAAUAAUGAAAAAUAAAUUAACUCUAAGCCUAAUCUUCAUUGGGCUUCUUGUCAAUGUCCAUCUUCCAUAAGCUUGUUUUUGUUAAUGGACUAGGGAAAAUUGAGCUUUUAAAUUUAUAAUUGGUCCAAUUUUAAUUUUGAAAGGAAAUAAAUAAAUAAUUAAUUUUUUUAUUAAAAUAAAACUUUUGGACCAAAAAUAAAUUUAAUGUAUUUAAUUUUAUCUAUGCAUUUUUAAUCCAUUAAGCCCAAUUGAAAUUGGGCCUAAAACUAGGAUUCAUUAAAUCCAAAACUAUUUUUAGAUUUAAAUGCAAAAAAUUAAAAAAAUUUCUGCCCAAAUGAAAAAUUAUGGAACCAUAGGGACCUCCAUGAUAAAAACCAUGAAACCCUAAAUCCAUAUUUUUCUUCCUCUCUUCCCCAACUGGCAUCUCCAAAAAGCACCAGCUGUUGUUCCCGGUCAACCGCUGCUGUUCAGAGACGCCAGUCGGUCUCCGACACAUCUCUGACGAGGAGCCAUCGCCGAUACGCCGGAAACAAGCCAACCCUGCGCGAGCUGCUUGCUGGAACGCACGCUGCUUCUGCGCGCGCUGUUGGCAGCGUGUGCUGUUAGCUGCGUGCACUGCCAGCAUGCGCUUGCAGCGUGUACCGCUCGUUGGCUGCAGCGAGUGAGCUGGUCGGUGGUCGAUGUCGAAAUUUCCGGCCUCCGUUGCUUACAGCUCGUUUUCCAGUGAUGAUUCUUCAGUGAUUUACAAAUUUUCAACGCAAGUUUUGGCUUACAAAAUUUCAAUUACAUUAAAAUAAUUCAAGAGGGAAACAUGGUGAUAAUAAACCGCCCCUCUUGUUACAAAUCCAAACGAAAAAUACAGUAGAACAUCUAACUAUGAAUUAAGACAAACCAUAAACAUGCUUUAUUCAUAUAUUAAACAAAUAAUAUAUAUCUGAAUAAAAUGUGCCACUCUAAUACAUAAAUUUCAAGAUUAAUUUCAUACGAAAUUCUUAUAUAUUAAUAUGAGGCUGCUCUAAUACCAAUUGUUGGGAAAAAAUCAGGUUUUUAAAAUUUUAUAAAACCUUUUAAGGACCGCUCUCAUAUAAUAUAUAGGAAUACAUAAUCCAGAAAUCGUACCUUGAAAAUCUGAAUUGGCUUUUUCCACUGAAGUGAUUUAGGAUCCUAGAUCACGAUCCGCCACCACCACUCCUGUUAGAUCAUGAUCCGCCACCACCACUCCUGUUAGAUCAUGAUCCGCCACCACCACUCCUGUUAGAUCACGAUCCGUCACCACCACGCUUGUUAGAUCACGAACUGUCACCAAUGAUCUUCUAGGUUAUGACUCAGGUUCGAUCUGCACUUGACGUGUGGGCGCCUUUAUCACUACCAAAGCAACUAGCACGAGAAAAUUUUUCUCUCAACAAUAGAGAGAAAAAUCUUUUUCUCUGAUCUGUAUAAAGUGGCUACCCCCUUUUUUUUAGAGAAAAUAAGCCUUUUAUAUCACCCUUUAGUGAAAAUCCUAGGCUCCAAAUAAUUAAAAGUAAAACCCACAUUAUUUGCUUUUUCAAUAGGGGACCCAUAUUGUAAAAUAACAUAAGGCCCCUUACACAAAAGCUAAUUAAAUGGAGCCUCCCACUAAAUGAAAUAUUUCAGCUUUUGACCCAAAUAGCUAGUUAUCUUACUUAUUAGUCCAGUAGUGGUGCAGUCAAAUAAAUGAGCUAACCCGGGAAUUAUUUGGGAACAUACAAUAGUGGCUACAAUAAUUAGGCCUGUAAUUAAACUAGCCCAAUUAUUUAAUUCUAAAUCUACUCUACUAAAAGAUUGGAACUGACUUCCAUAAUUGUAUGCUCGAAUAAUAAUUCGUCCCAAGCCACAUUGAUUUCUUUACUGCACAAUCCUUUGUACCACAUCGUUAAUUAAAUUGAUAUCUCAACUGUCCAAUCAAUUUAAUAACAUCUUAUUCCUUGAUCCUUAUUGAUUUUCUCUAAUGAUCAUUUUCAACAUACUAAAUAUGUUGACACACUCUGGCCAGAGAAUUCUAUGAUCAAGUGCCGAAAACCUAUCAAAAGAUGUGUUGUACAAAUUCUAUAUUGUUAAUCCAUAACUCCAAUACUCAUAAUUGCUCCCACCAAGAUACCAGGUGAUCUUGACCACAAAGAUGUGUCGUGCCCAUUGGUAACUCAAAUGGAAUAACAAUUACAAUCAUGAAAUCAUAAUUAACUUAAGAUUAAGAUUACAGUAAAAUCAACGCCUAUGAGAUUUAAUAAGUCUGACAGUUAUUACAAAGUUAAUUAAAUCUCAUAUAUGAUCCUGUUCAAUGUAGUCGUACUACAUCAAUAAAUUCAUACAUGCUUAAGACAAAUCAUUCAAUGAAUUUAUUACAGUCUAUAUCUAAAUAAAGUGCCCAACUUUAUUUAUUAAUUGCGAACUAAAUUUAUUUAAUCAUAAGAUAAUUUGUAUUUAUGUCUUCUGUGAAUCUACAUGGUGAUCACAUAAAUACAUAUAAUAUGAUUAAAUGGACUUUAAUACAAAUAUUAAUGCAAUUAAGAUAUUUGAAUAAAAUACCUCAUUUAUUUUAUUAAUCAGAAAAAUUAUUUAUUACAAUUAAAUAAACACAUAUACUUUUAAAGAGCAUAUUUUCCAAACAACAAAUACAUUGAAUCAAGCGAAAUCUAUGCUUGGCUGGAAAGGGGAAAGGAAGGAAAACUCACUACCCACCCACAAGUCUUGUCAGCAAGUUGCUUUGUUUUAGGUUAUUUGACUACUGGAAAAUUGUUUCCAAUUUUUUCCCAAGAAUAUUCGCUUGGCUUUCUUUUCUACCUUUGGUAUACGUAAAGAUGGCCAAUGGGCCGGGCGGCACGUGGCACGGCACGGCACGAGCACGUUUCGGUGAGGCACGAGGCACGGCACGGCACGCACGUGGGCCGUGCCGGGCCUAGAAUUUUAGGCACGCGGGCCUUAAAGCACGGCACGAUUAGAGAUGGGUCAAAGCACGGCACGCGAAAAAGCACAUAAUAAGCACGGUUCAUUAGUGGGCUAGCACGCGGCCCGUGAGCCAUUAAUAGCACGUGGGCCAAAAUAUAUCUAAGUAAAUUUUUUUAACAAAAAGUAAAUAUAAAAUGUUAUGAAAUUAAAGUACAAUAUCUUGAAAUUAAAUGUUUUAAUAUAUUUUUUAGCAUAGACUUUUAAAAAUU